rnacentral:rRNA from 1 species
CGGACGGGUGAGUAACGCGUGAGGAACCUGCCUCAGAGUGGGGGAUAACACACCGAAAGGUGUGCUAAUACCGCAUAACAUAUGGAGGGGCANCCCUUUCAUAUCAAAGAUUUAUUGCUCUGAGAUGGCCUCGCGUCCAAUUAGCUAGUUGGCGGGGUAACGGCCCACCAAGGCGACGAUUGGUAGCCGGACUGAGAGGUUGAACGGCCACAUUGGGACUGAGACACGGCCCAGACUCCUACGGAAGGCAGCAG